ensembl:lncRNA
AAAAAGAAGAAGAAGGCAGGAAGCUUCCGUGAGACUCCCUCCGUAAUGCUGGGUGAAGGGCGGAUGUGAAUUAGCUGAAGUGCCAAAAUACCUGCGGCACAACCGUCUCUCAGGGCAAGGCGGAUCCGCUUUCCUGACCCUGCAAAGGCUGCUGCUGGCCUCCAGCUUCGGGCAGAGAAGCAGAGAGAACCUUUGCUUCUCGCAUCUUCUGUUGGGGUUGGCCAGAGAGAUACCAAACCGCUUCAUUUCAGGGUCAGGUGGAACAGGUUGCCCUAAGUUCUACUGUGUAGCUGAGCCCUUCGGACUUCACUUCAAAAUACGGAUUGUUUUUCCUUUGAAGGUUGGUCUAGAAGGACGACAAGCACCUUAAAGCAUGUCAGCACCUCAUCUGAUCUAUUGUGUUGUCUGCUUCCACAGCCCUCCCACGUGCGAGCGCAGACACAGACGCAGUGUAGACGUAGUGCUGUGAGUAGACACCCUUGCACACAAACUAGUUGCUGACGGGGCGCAGACAAGAACAAGCAUGUCAGUGACAGCCUCAGUGACAGCCUCAUGAAGGACAAAACGUGCACUGCAGCUCACCAAAGAAAAAUCGCCAGCUGUUGGCUGCGGUGAUUCCGAUGGUGAAGCUGGCACAACCCUUCAGGUGUUGGGAUCAGGCAGGAAGACGCCGCAGAGGUUAGGUCAACCCUAAAGAAUGGUGGCUUUUUGCUGCUGAGUUCUUAUCCUUCUGUGUUAAAGAAGGAGGGGAGGAGAAAGGAGAAAGCCAAGACAGAGCAUUCUGCAGCAAGCGUCUGGUGCUCAGUGGCCGGGCAGGAAGGUGGCCGUGCUGGAAGGUGGAACAGAGCAAGGUGUUAAUGAGGUCUCACAGCUGUGUUAUGCAAACCAUCACUGUCAUGAUUCUCUCUUGGCUCACGCUGGAGCAGGUCCAGUGAAAUUGAUUUGCUUAUAGCAAGAGCAAAGGGGUGGGAAAAAUCUGGCAGUAGGAUCAGGCUUAGCACAAACAAGCUGGGUUUAAUGCAGUGUUUGUCUGCUGCUGUUGUGCUUUUAAUGCUAUAGACUGGGCCACUGUGGUAGCAGCAGUCAGUGUUUCCUGCAAGACCUGCAAAGCACUGCUUGUGUUUUCACACAUCCCUGUAGAUGAAAGUUGUGAGCAUGGUCCACAGGCAGCUUUUCACCAAUACUCAGUCUUCUUCACAAAAAGUACUCCAAGAUUUGGGAAGCGUUCGAGGGCCUCUGAGCCGGAAGAGUUCGGUUGUAUGUUUUUCAGAAGGCUUAACCUGCGACUACCUGCACGUGUUGGUGAGGUUUCCGAAACAAAUCUGAGCCCUAUAUCCAGCAAGCUGCUGCUUGGGAAGAGUCUCUGCUUUGAACUGAGAGCUGCUGAGCAGGUCCUGCCUCCCCCCACCGCCGCCUCACUGUGCCCGCGUGGGCUCCGGGACUGUGUUUGUGAGCUCGAGCUGUCCGCGUCCUGCCCGCUCCCCACAGCCCUGCCUGGGACAGCAGCUUCGGAGUCACCCAGCUCUUCAGCACUAGUCACCACCCCAUCUGAAUGUGUCUUUAAAAAAACCAACAACGAAGUUACCAACAGACGUGUUACCUGUGUGUAGGCUGUUGAAAGCACCUGUCUGUCUGUACCUGUUUUCUGCUGUAAAUAUCACUGAGAAAAGCUUCCUUUGGGGAAAGUGGUGUGGUCACACCUAGCUAAGAGUCCAAACGGCUAUUUUGUAACAAACCAACAGAAAUAGAUCAGAGGUAUUUUAUCUGUUCGAUUAUAAUAGAGUUUUAGAAAUUAUAUUGAGAUAUGUCACUUGUGCGCCAAUGUCUUCUUUGCCUCGGCCCCCUCCCACGUCCCCGGGCUCCGUUGGUGCGCGCAGGCGCACGGCUGACACACCAAGGCUGUGCUCCCAAGGGCUGCUGAGCAUCAUGGCUCCCUGCUGGCCUCGGGGACAGCCCUCUGUGGCCACUGCCGAGCUCUCAUCAGUUAGCUCCGUGCAUGGGGCCCCCGAAGGACCAGAUCCAGAGGAGACCAGGGAGAAAUAAUCUUGCCCAACGCGCAAUUCACCCGUGCGGUGAGGCGGAGAGGAAAGGGGGACAGCGAAAGGCUGAGCCCUCCAUACUGCAGCUCCUUCCCUUGCACCUUGCUGGCAUGCAGCAGGGCCGGCCUGAGCUUCUCUGCCCACACUGCACGCUGGGGAAGGAGCCCACGUGCCGUGCCAAGCGCGUGCCGCCGUGUGCGCACGCUGCGGCAAGGAGAGCAGCUUCGUGCGCCGCAUGUGCCAAUGCAUGUGUUGUACGCCAGCUGGCUGCAGAGAAACUCAUUCACCCAGAGACAUCAGCACACACUGCGCGUUAAUGCACACGCCAUCUGCCAACAUGUAAGACUAUAUGGCAGAUCAUGUGUAGGCACCUCUGCUACCCACGCGACUGAACACGCCGUACAAAACGUCAGGUGUGCGCAGCCACGCUCUGCCUGAGCAGGACAGCUGUGCGGGCUGCAGUUACCGUCACAGCACACUUUGUAAGUUACAUAGGCUCAGGCUCGACUAACAUUUGGAUGGGGGACGUGCAGGGAAAAUGACAUUUUCCAUGCAAAUCAGAUAGACAUGCAUAUUUACACAAAGCAUCACCCCGGGGUUAAUGAAACCAACCUCUGUGAAGCUGUGCGCAGGGAUGAGAGAUGAUCAGAGACAAACACGUGCACGCGAAGAAGCUCUCCUCUGCAGAGGGUGGGGGACAGCAGCCCACAUUUUUGCAGCUGGGGUCAGACUGCACCUGCUGAGGAAGCAGUCUGUGGGCUGCACAUUCUUUGCUGGCUUCAAAGAAUCCCUCAGACCCCCGGGCCUGCGGUGAAACACUUGGGAGGGCAGAAAUUCCUGAGACACGGAUAGGAAUUCCCAGGGAUUCAGAGGCUUCCAUUUCUGUUUUUGUGUGCCACAGAUGUAUUAUCUACCGGUCCACCCCAAACACGUCCAUUUCUAAGAUGUUUUGAAACAGGAAAUUAUCUGGAGAAGUUUCUGCCUGAUGUUUCGAUCACACACCUGGCUGUAAAGAUGAAAGCAAUAAAAACAG